rnacentral:rRNA from 1 species
UGAGGGAUGACGGCCUUCGGGUUGUAAACCUCUUUUAGUAGGGAAGAAGCGAAAGUGACGGUACCUGCAGAAAAAGCACCGGCUAACUACGUGCCAGCAGCCGCGGUAAUACGUAGGGUGCAAGCGUUGUCCGGAAUUAUUGGGCGUAAAGAGCUCGUAGGCGGUUUGUCGCGUCUGCUGUGAAAUCCCGAGGCUCAACCUCGGGCUUGCAGUGGGUACGGGCAGACUAGAGUGCGGUAGGGGAGAUUGGAAUUCCUGGUGUAGCGGUGGAAUGCGCAGAUAUCAGGAGGAACACCGAUGGCGAAGGCAGAUCUCUGGGCCGUAACUGACGCUGAGGAGCGAAAGCAUGGGGAGCGAACAGGAUUAGAUACCCUGGUAGUCCAUGCCGUAAACGUUGGGCGCUAGAUGUAGGGACCUUUCCACGGUUUCUGUGUCGUAGCUAACGCAUUAAGCGCCCCGCCUGGGGAGUACGGCCGCAAGGCUAAAACUCAAAGGAAUUGACGGGGGCCCGCACAAGCGGCGGAGCAUGCGGAUUAAUUCGAUGCAACGCG